rnacentral:rRNA from 1 species
GACGAACGCUGGCGGCGUGCUUAACACAUGCAAGUCGAACGGAAAGGCCCUGCUUUUGUGGGGUGCUCGAGUGGCGAACGGGUGAGUAACACGUGAGUAACCUGCCCUUGACUUUGGGAUAACUUCAGGAAACUGGGGCUAAUACCGGAUAGGAGCUCCUGCUGCAUGGUGGGGGUUGGAAAGUUUCGGCGGUUGGGGAUGGACUCGCGGCUUAUCAGCUUGUUGGUGGGGUAGUGGCUUACCAAGGCUUUGACGGGUAGCCGGCCUGAGAGGGUGACCGGCCACAUUGGGACUGAGAUACGGCACAGACUCCUACGGGAGGCAGCAGUGGGGAAUAGUGCACAAUGGGCGGAAGCCUGAUGCAGCAACGCCGCGUGCGGUAUGACGGCCUUCGGGUUGUAAACCGCUUUCGCCUGUGACGAAGCGUGAGUGACGGUAAUGGGUAAAGAAGCACCGGCUAACUACGUG